UUAGGAUUCUCCUAAACUGUUGUGUAACUUUAUCCACUAUUAAAAGAGAGUUUUUGAAUGAGAUUCAGAAUAACGUUCUUUCUUCUCCUUCUCCAUAAUAUUCCUGGUUCUUCUACUCUCUGAAUAUUUUUUGGGAGUUAUCUAAAAAUUCCUGUGAAGAAUUUUUCUCCGAAAAAUGUUGGAAUAACCUUCUGCAAUAAGGUACGAUUAUAGACUGUGAACUUUAUAGAUUAACUGGUGUAUUAACAUGUGAUUGAACUGUUUGACUGAUAAAAUACAAAAUACAAUGAUCCUGCAUGUAUUUGAUUUAAUUCUUCAAUUUUGAAUUUCCAAGCUUUUAAUUGAUCAAGAAGAGAGAAGAACAUGUAAAAACAUAUGUUACAAUCUUUAAAUUUAUAAAAAGGAUCAUAUCUAUACAAGGGGUGAUCAUCAAAUGAUCGAUAAUAUAAGCUGCACUUUGUAAACAAAAACCUCAAAGAAAAAAAUAUUAUUAAUAUACUGAAAUAAAAGAAAGUAUAGAUGCAAAACUGAAGCUUUGGUAAGAAUUCACAAAAAUCUUAUCACUUGCAAUCAAGAUCCUGAAUAGCACUUAUAGUCAAAUUAAUAUUCAUAGUACAACUCAAAUCUGCAGAUUUCUUCCUCCUAAACACCCUAAAAAUCUGCAGUUUCCCUCUCAACAUAGCCUGGCUAGUCACUGGCAAAAUCCCGUUAGUAUUAUUGACUCCUUGUCUUGCAAGUGUGAUAAUAUUUGCAUUAAUAUAAUGUUUUUUCGUCGAACGACGUCUUACCUCUGCGUUAGGAAUAAUAAAUUGGCCAAUCGUCUCACCCCCUGAAGUAAUAGUACCUAAAGUACUAUCAAAUUCGUAACGCCAAUAAUUACUAUUUCUCACAAAAAUUUGUGCAGCAAAAUUAAUAUUAUUGCCAUCACUAUCGUUCGUGACUCUGAUGUUUUCGAGCCAGAUUUGAGGUGAUUUGAUUCGAACAAAUAUGAGAGAAAAUAGAAGAACGAUUCCAGUUAGGAACAAUGUGAAGAACAAAAUAUUUCUGAUUUUGUUUUUCCUCUUGAUAUUAUUGGAUUGGAAAUUGGCUAAUGAUUCUGCAUCACUUCUCGGCAUAAAACUUGAUGGUGCUAAGGGAUAUGAUUGUUGGUAUUUUUGAUCAGUUGCCAUAGUUAAAAAUAGAGGAAUUUUAUUUUUGUUUUGAAUUGAAGUUAGGGACUGUAUUUAUAUAUGUUUAGAUUGAGACACUUUCGUGGAAAAUGUUAUCAGCC
rnacentral:lncRNA from 1 species